rnacentral:tRNA from 1 species
ACUUAUUUAAUAUAAAAAGUAUAUUAAGCUUCCAACUUAAAUGUUUCAUUUGAAAAUAAGUA